UACGAAGGGGGCUAGCGUUGUUCGGAAUCACUGGGCGUAAAGGGCGCGUAGGCGGCUGUUCAAGUCGGGGGUGAAAUUUCGGAGCUUAACUCCGAAACUGCAUUCGAUACUGCGGUGCUUGAGGACUGGAGAGGAGACUGGAAUUCAUGGUGUAGCAGUGAAAUGCGUAGAGAUCAUGAGGAAGACCAGUGGCGAAGGCGGGUCUCUGGACAGUUCCUGACACUGAGACACGAAGGCCAGGGGAGCAAACGGG
rnacentral:rRNA from 1 species